rnacentral:rRNA from 1 species
GACGAACGCUGGCGGCGUGCUUAACACAUGCAAGUCGAACGGAAAGGCCCUGCUUUUGUGGGGUGCUCGAGUGGCGAACGCGUGAGUAACACGCGAGUAACCUGUCCUUGACUUUGGGAUAACUUCAGGAAACUGGGGCUAAUACCGGAUAGGAGCUCCUGCUGCAUGGUGGGGGUUGGAAAGAUUCGGCGGUUGUGGAUGGUCUCGCUGCUUACCCGCUUGAUGGUGGGGUAGUGGCUUACCAAGGCUUUGACGGGUAGCCGGCCUGAGAGGGUGACCGGCCACAUUGGGCCUGAGGUACGGCCCAGACUCCUACGGGAGGCAACGGUGGGGAAUAUUGCACAGUGGGCGGGAGCCUGAUGCGGCAGCGCCGCGUGCGGGAUGACGGCCUUCGAGUUGUAAACAGCUUUCGACUGUGACGAAGCGUGAGUGACGGUAAUGGGUAAAGAAGCACCGGCUAACUACGUG